UGUGAAGAGAUAUAAUAACAAGAGGUUUAAUUGCAACGCCAUUUUGAAAAUUCUGUUUACACAAAAGAUGAUUACUGCAGAGUCUGCGAGUCAUAUAAAGCAACUUCUAGACACAACGGUUACCUGUUUAAAAGCGUUAUCGAAUAUGGGUAUAGAUACGCAUUCGUGGGAUAUAAUUAUCAACUAUUUAGUCAUUUCAAAACUGGACUCCGAGUCGAUGCGACAGUGGGAACAACAUGUGCGGACGCCGUCAUCAUUCAAUGAUUCAUGUUGAACGCGAGCCUAAAGUUGAUAAUCCAGUUGAGACGGUUUCCACAUCUACAGGUAUAGAGAAUAAGUCUAGAGGUAAGCCUAAUGUUUUGUCAAAUGAUAACAAUAUUAUAACAA